UUGAAACACCGGUUCUUAUACGAGCACCGAAGUUAAGCAAUGUCAAACUUAGUCAGUACUUAUGUGGGUGACCGCUUGCGAAUACCAGAUGCUGCAAG